rnacentral:misc_RNA from 1 species
GGUUUUCACAAAGAUCUGCAUCUGCUUGGUGGAAUAAAUAUCAAAUAAAAAAAUAUUACAAACAGCGAAUUAUAUAUAGACCACAAUUAAUGAUUAUCAGCUCAUAAUACCAAUAGGAAUCCUGCAACUAAAUCAAAAUUAGAUUAAGAUAUUGCUAAAGAUAAAUUAGAACCGUCUUAAGUACAACAGAUAAUAAGAGAUGCAAUGAAUCCCCAAAACAAAGUCAAUCAAAUUGUCAUAAUGCAGCAACAUCUAAAAUCUCCAGAGUUGGAACCAUUUACAACUAAAAAAUUAAAAAAGAACAACAAUGAAAAAGCCAACAUAUUCAUUCACAACCAUUACUCUAAUGACGAAUCUAAUGAGUAGACAAAAAGAACAAUUCAUUUGAGAUUUUCAGAACACACGCUCAAUAUUAAUCAAAUAAACAAAAGUUAUAUAAGGUAUAAUCCCAUUUCAUGGAUAUGUCCAUACAACAAGAAUCCCCGAAAACUAUUACUUUCUGAGAAUCUAGGCCACAUAUAAUCAAAAGGAAAUCGCAAUCAAACAGUACAUAAAUAUUUCUAAAAGAAGCCUAAUAGAGAAGAAAAAUUAAGAUUUCCCAGGAAAAAGAAAUUGAAAGAUACCUUUAUUGAAAUUUAC